AACGCGAAGAACCUUACCAGGUCUUGACAUCCCGAUGCUAUUUCUAGAGAUAGAAAGUUACUUCGGUACAUCGGUGACAGGUGGUGCAUGGUUGUCGUCAGCUCGUGUCGUGAGAUGUUGGGUUAAGUCCCGCAACGAGCGCAACCCCUAUUGUUAGUUGCCAUCAUUCAGUUGGGCACUCUAGCGAGACUGCCGGUAAUAAACCGGAGGAAGGUGGGGAUGACGUCAAAUCAUCAUGCCCCUUAUGACCUGGGCUACACACGUGCUACAAUGGUUGGUACAACGAGUUGCGAGUCGGUGACGGCGAGCUAAUCUCUUAAAGCCAAUCUCAGUUCGGAUUGUAGGCUGCAACUCGCCUACAUGAAGUCGGAAUCGCUAGUAAUCGCGGAUCAGCACGCCGCGGUGAAUACGUUCCCGGGCCUU
rnacentral:rRNA from 1 species